UACGAAGGGGGGCUAGCGUUGUUCGGAUUUACUGGGCGUAAAGCGCGCGUAGGCGGAACUUCAAGUCCGGUCUGAAAGCCCCCCGGCUCAACCGGGGGAGGGUGGCUGGAAACUGGGGGUUCUUGAGGGCGAGAGAGGAGGGUGGAAUUCCUGGUGUAGCGGUGAAAUGCGUAGAGAUCAGGAGGAACACCCGGGGCGAAGGCGGCCCUCUGGCUCGACCCUGACGCUGAGGCGCGAAAGCGUGGGGGAGCGAACGGGG
rnacentral:rRNA from 1 species